GUAAGAAUGUGGGGAGAGGAGAGAGGAAGAAAUGGAGCUUAUCUUCACUUAAGUGCUUUUUCAAAUUACUUUUGCCCCUCAAGGACAUUGCUAUGAGAUGAGAAAACACUGUGUGAGGAUAGAGGGCAGCGAAUGGAUUGGUGAUGACAGGAGUUCAGGAGUCACAGAGCAUGGUCCCUACUGGCUGGGGGACCAAGAAGCCAGAGAGUAGUGUCCAAUUUCUCAACCCUAAGAGGGGAAAACACCACACCAACCUGAUUGGGCGGUGGUGAAGAUGAGAUGAGAGCAUGUAUGAACGUGGUCAGGACGUGGCGGCUGCCACAGCAGUGGGAUCAUUUGAAGUGGAAGGCAGAAUUUGUGUGGCAGAGUCGAGAUCUUGCUCUGGACUUAGUUCGCAUCAUGUGACAUGUAUAAAAAUAGAGCGCAGCGUAAGAAAUGGGAUCAGCUGCAAUUUUGUUUCGUGCCUUCACAGGAAUCUAUGCCGGCCUGCAGAUCCACCUACCAGUAGAUGGGAAAUACAAGAAACAUCUUAAUCACCACCACAGGAAAGCAAUCAGCAAAAUUACAGGCUGUGGGGAGGGAGUCCUACUCCUUACUACUUGAAGUAGUGAGUAGUUCAGAGACCAGCCACAUCAGCAUCGCUGGGGCUCCUAUUAAACAUGGGGAUGCCAGGCCCCACCCCAGUCUACUGCUUCAGAACCUCUAAUGAAAUCUCCAAGUGAUUCACGUUCACAUUUACAUUUCAGAAUCAAUGCUCUACAGGACAAUCAAAACAAGACAAAACAAACCCUCUGCCCUGAGUGACAAUGACCCAAACAGCAGCUGCUCUGUGGCAUCCCAGAGUGAGGAGGACACAGGUCUGGGGCAGCACCCUGUGUACACCUGAGGGAGAAAGCAGUCCCUUCAUCAUAGCCAGAGAUUUGGGAAAUUGUUAGUGCUGCAUCUUCUAGCAAAAGCUAGUAUACGUCUCUAUGCAGGAUUACAGUGAAGACUACAUGUGAGUAUGUACAGAGAGUACCUGAAAAAAUAAUAGCUACUCUUGUCCAUAAAUGUUUGCUCCCUUCUCCCCUCAGCAUUCACGAAGCAGCCAGGACUGCUGAGAAGCUGCCAUAAACGCCCCUUGUGCAUGGCAGAAACCCGGAAUGAUAAGAGCGUAGUCAUUUGUUUUAGGGGCCUCACGUUCAUGAAGAUCUACCACAUGCUCAAAAAGUGGAAAAUUUUGUUAUUUCAGCCUAAUAGUCUUAUGAGAUUGGUACUGUGUUCUUUGUUUUACAUAAAAUGUAAUCUGUAAUAUGGAAGAGUAGAUGGCAUAUUGAUGGGUCUGGCAAAAAGAAGGCCAAAACAAAACAAAACAACAACAACAAAAACCCAAAAAAACAAAAAACUCACACUUUAGGAAUUCUGAGCUAAAACCUAAGAAACAGAAACUAGUUUUUGAUGAAUUACAUGCUAGGAUGAAUUAAAUAAUUCAUAGUAUCAAUGA